AUUAGAAAACGAACAUUGCCAGGGGGUUACAAACAAUUUAAACAAAUAUAUAAAAUAAUUACCAACAAUCGAUAAAUUCUACAUAAUUAAUUAAAACAAACUGAGAACAGCUACGAAUAAACACCAACGAACAAACAAACAAAAAAGAUCUCCCAAACUCCGCUAAAGCCAAAACAAACCGUCGUCGCGUGACGCGCUCGUGCGUGCUUACGUCAUGACAGCAGCGCAGCUGAGAGGGAGCGUCACGGCGGCGUAGACGGGUUACUGUAUGGUUACUGUUUACAUUCCCUUCACCGUCUCUUUUCUGCUUUUACCCCGAUUUUACCACAACAGCGCGCGUCUCCUGCAUCUAACCGCCUGAAGCAGACUCUUUCUUUCUUUGAGCAUCUUCUGGACACACAGAGACCGAUACAGAUCCAGAUUCAGAUCCUGCUGUAGACCUUCACUAUAACAUAUUGGAAUGUGUGCAUGUUAGUGCAUGUGUGUUACAGACGAAGACUUGCGGUUUCUUGAGUUAACAUGCUCUUUCUGCGUAGCUGAGGAUUCAUAUGUAUUGUUUUCUGAUGCAUUAACACACAAUGAAAUUAAAAUGACAUUGAUGAGA